GCUGUCGUGGCCUAGUUGGUUAGGGCGCCAGACUCAUAAUCUGGAGGCCGUGGGUUCGGAUCCCACCGACAGCA
rnacentral:tRNA from 1 species